ACGGAAGUCGUUGUAAUGAAAUAGAAACGGACAGAGAACUUGUUCGAAGAAAGUGGAAGUAGACUUACAACAAUGGCUUUAGUGGCGGACUGGUGAGUAACGCGUAAGGAACCUGCCUUCUAGAGGGGAAUAACAAUGAGAAAUCAUUGCUAAUACCGCAUAUGCCGAGAGAAUCACAUGGUACAAUCGGGAAAAGAGUAAUCUGCUAGAAGAUGGCCUUGCGUCUGAUUAGAUAGUUGGUGGGGUAACGGCCUACCAAGUCGACGAUCAGUAGCCGGACUGAGAGGUUGAACGGCCACAUUGGGACUGAGAUACGGCCCAGACUCCUACGGGAGGCAGCAGUCGGGAAUAUUGCGCAAUGGAGGAAACUCUGACGCAGUGACGCCGCGUAUAGGAAGAAGGUUUUCGGAUUGUAAACUAUUGUCGUUAGGGAAGAGAAAGGACAGUACCUAAGGAGGAAGCUCCGGCUAACUACGUGCCAGCAGCCGCGGUAAUACGUAGGGAGCGAGCGUUAUCCGGAAUUAUUGGGUGUAAAGGGUGCGUAGACGGGAAGAUAAGUUAGUUGUGAAAUCCCUCGGCUUAACUGAGGAACUGCAACUAAAACUGUUUUUCUUGAGUGCAGGAGAGGUAAGUGGAAUUCCUAGUGUAGCGGUGAAAUGCGUAGAUAUUAGGAGGAACACCAGU
rnacentral:rRNA from 1 species